rnacentral:rRNA from 1 species
CCUACGGGAGACAGCAGUGAGGAAUAUUGGUCAAUGGACGAGAGUCUGAACCAGCCAAGUAGCGUGAAGGAUGACUGCCCUAUGGGUUGUAAACUUCUUUUAUAUGGGAAUAAAAUGUUCCACGUGUGGGAUUUUGUAUGUACCAUAUGAAUAAGGAUCGGCUAACUCCGUGCCAGCAGCCGCGGUAAUACGGAGGAUCCGAGCGUUAUCUGGAUUUAUUGGGUUUAAAGGGAGCGUAGGUGGAUUGUUAAGUCAGUUGUGAAAGUUUGCGGCUCAACCGUAAAAUUGCAGUUGAAACUGGCAGUCUUGAGUACAGUAGAGGUGGGCGGAAUUCGUGGUGUAGCGGUGAAAUGCUUAGAUAUCACGAAGAACUCCGAUUGCGAAGGCAGUUCACUGGACUGCAACUGACACUGAGGCUCGAAAGUGUGGGUAUCAAACAGGAUUAGAUACCCUUGUAGUC